GUGCUCUGAUUUGCUUAUUGCACCACAUGUGUUUUUCUUUGAAACAAACUUGCUUUGGCGGUGGGCCCAGCCUGCCGCCAGAGGUCUAAACUUACAACCAAUUUUUUAUCAACUUGUCACGCCAGAUUAUUACUAAUAGUCAAAACUUUCAACAACGGAUCUCUUGGUUCUCGCAUCGAUGAAGAACGCAGCGAAAUGCGAUACGUAAUAUGAAUUGCAGAUAUUCGUGAAUCAUCGAAUCUUUGAACGCACAUUGCGCCCUCUGGUAUUCCGGAGGGCAUGCCUGUUUGAGCGUCGUUUCUCCCUCAAACCGCUGGGUUUGGUGUUGAGCAAUACGACUUGGGUUUGCUUGAAAGACGGUAGUGGUAAGGCGGGAUCGCUUUGACAAUGGCUUAGGUCUAACCAAAAACAUUGCUUGCGGCGGUAACGUCUACCACGUAUAUCUUCAAACUUUGACCUCAAAUCAGGUAGGACUACCCGCUGAACUUAAGCAUAUCAAAAGCGGGGAGGAAA
rnacentral:rRNA from 1 species